rnacentral:rRNA from 1 species
UGGGGAAUAUUGCACAAUGGGCGCAAGCCUGAUGCAGCCAUGCCGCGUGUAUGAAGAAGGCCUUCGGGUUGUAAAGUACUUUCAGCGGGGAGGAAGGCGAUAAGGUUAAUAACCUUGUCGAUUGACGUUACCCGCAGAAGAAGCACCGGCUAACUCCGUGCCAGCAGCCGCGGUAAUACGGAGGGUGCAAGCGUUAAUCGGAAUUACUGGGCGUAAAGCGCACGCAGGCGGUCUGUCAAGUCGGAUGUGAAAUCCCCGGGCUCAACCUGGGAACUGCAUUCGAAACUGGCAGGCUAGAGUCUUGUAGAGGGGGGUAGAAUUCCAGGUGUAGCGGUGAAAUGCGUAGAGAUCUGGAGGAAUACCGGUGGCGAAGGCGGCCCCCUGGACAAAGACUGACGCUCAGGUGCGAAGCGUGGGGAGCAAACA